UAAAACGUUGACGAUUUGAAUCAGCUGUGUAGCGUUAGGGACCGAUGUUUGAGAAAACCCUGGCCCACACCACCAGUGGUAAGCGGGCCUACCAUACCUGACGGUCUGCUUCACUUCUGAGUAGCCUCAGCACUUCUAUGGCACAGUGAGAAUGGCCACCAGAUGGCCUUAGUGUAAUAUGGAAACAGCUGGAGAGGCUCCAUCACCAGCAGCAUCUUCUGGGCAGGUGAUACGUCUGUUCAGGACAAUUCGUGAAUGCGCUACACUGUAGCAGACAGAGGAGGUGUCAGUUAAACGCCAUGGAGGUUGCACGGAGCCGGUAGAGCACUAAAGGUAGUAGGGAAUUCUGCUGCAGGAUAAUCCAAAGUACGGCUGUGGUGAGUAGCCUACAUAUAUCUAUGGCAUGUCUAGUCGUACGUAUAGGACAUAGAGUGGAGUUUUGCAUGGGAUAAACUGGUGGAAUAAUAUAGGCCUAUGCAGAACG
rnacentral:lncRNA from 13 species